rnacentral:tRNA from 2 species
GCACCCGUAGCUCAGCUGGAUAGAGCGCUGCCCUCCGGAGGCAGAGGUCGCGCGUUCGAAUCGCGCCGGGUGUACCA